rnacentral:rRNA from 1 species
CUGCAUGGCUGUCGUCAGCUCGUGCUGUGAAGUGUGGGUUAAGUCCCGCAACGAGCGCAACCCUACUCAUCUGUUGCCAGCAUUUAAGGUGGGGACUCAGAUGAGACUGCCGGUGACAAACCGGAGGAAGGUGGGGACGACGUCAAGUCACCAUGGCCCUUAUGUCCUGGGCUACACACGUGCUACAAUGGCCGGUACAGAGUGAAGCGAAACCGCGAGGUGAAGCAAAACGCAGAAAGCCGGUCUCAGUACGGAUUGGAGUCUGAAACUCGACUUCAUGAAGUUGGAAUCGCUAGUAAUCGCGCAUCAGCAUGGCGCGGUGAAUACGUUCCCGGGCCUU